UACAGAGGGUGCAAGCGUUAAUCGGAAUGACUGGGCGUAAAGGGCACGUAGGCGGGUGCAUGUGUCACAGGUGAAAUCCCCGGGCUUAACCUGGGAAGGUCCUGUGAAACUGUGAAUCUAGAAUAGAGUAGAGGUAAGUGGAAUUUCCGGUGUAGCGGUGAAAUGCGUAGAUAUCGGAAAGAACACCAGUGGCGAAGGCGACUUACUGGACUCAUAUUGACGCUGAGGUGCGAAAGCGUGGGGAGCAAACAGG
rnacentral:rRNA from 1 species